UACGAAGGGUGCAAACGUUGCUCGGAAUUAUUGGGCGUAAAGCGCACGUAGGCGGCUUUGCAAGUCCGAUGUGAAAUCUUAUGGCUUAACCAUAAAAGUGCAUCGGAAACUGCAGAGCUUGAGUACUUAAGAGGAUCGCGGAAUUCCCGGUGUAGAGGUGAAAUUCGUAGAUAUCGUAAGGAAGACCAGUGGCGAAGGCGAAUCUCUGGACAGUUACUGACACUGAGGCACGAAGGCCAGGGGAGCAAACGGG
rnacentral:rRNA from 1 species